GACGAACCGGCCAAACGUUAUUCGGAAUCAAUGGGCUUAAAGGGUGCGUAGGCGGCCUGGAAAGUUGGGUGUGAAAGCCCUCGGCUCAACCGAGGAAUUGCGCCCAAAACUACCCGGCUCGAGGGAGACAGAGGUGAGCUGAACUCAGGGUGGAGAGGUGAAAUGCGUUGAUAUCCUGGGGAACACCAGUAGCGAAAGCGGCUCACUGGGUCGCUUCUGACGCUGAGGCACGAAAGCUAGGGUAGCGAACGGG
rnacentral:rRNA from 1 species